UUAACCCUACUGAGUAAUUCUAUAUUAUUAUAGAACCUAUAAUGUUAGAACUAGUAACAAGAAGAAGCCCUUCUCUUGAAUGCAAGUAUAAAUCAGCAAGGACUCACCACUGAUAAUUAACACACAUGAAAUUACAUUAGCAACUUCUCAAGAAAACCCUAAUAAAUCUUAUGUUACCCUAACACAAGAGCAUUAAAAGAAAGAUUAAAAAAAAAAGAAGGAACUCGGCAAACAAUGACCCCGCCUGUUUACCAAAAACAUCGCCUCUUGAAUAACUAUAAGAGGUCCAGCCUGCCCAGUGAUUUAUUCAACGGCCGCGGUAUCUUAACCGCGCGAAGGUAGCAUAAUCAAUUGUUCUUUAAAUGGGGACUUGUAUGAAUGGCACCACGAAGGUUAUACUGUCUCCUUUUUUUAAUCAGUGAAACUAAUCCCCCCGUGAAGAAGCGGGAAUAAGAAUAUAAGACGAGAAGACCCUAUGGAGCUUCAAACUAAAUAACAAAUAUUAAUAAUUAAAAAUUUUUUCAGAACAAAAACCUUUAUCCCUAUAUUAUGAUUAAUAGUUUUAGGUUGGGGCGACCGCGGAGUAUAAUUUAACCUCCACACUGAAAGAACUCUCUUCUGAACCAAGAGCUACGACUCUAAGUACCAACAAAUUGACACCAUUUGACCCAAUAUUUUGAUCAACGAACCAAGUUACCCUAGGGAUAACAGCGCAAUCUACUUCAAGAGAUCCUAUCAAAAAGUAGGCUUACGACCUCGAUGUUGGAUCAGGGCAUCCCAGUGGUGCAGCCGCU
rnacentral:rRNA from 1 species